UUUCUUUAUGUAACUUUUAAAAUUUCCAAGUCCAAAUAGGACUCGGUUUCAACAAACUCUCUUCCUCUCCACGUGAGGUGCAGAUUUCCUUAGUAAUCACGCCUCCUCGCAAGAUGUCUUCAGCGAUUCCUCGUUCUCUUAGCUCUAAAACCUGGUGGUUUUCCUCCAGAUGCAGGAAACUAUUCCGAUAUAUUUGGGAUCCCAUGGAUUUCGCUAUAUUUCAAACUUCUAUUUGGAUUGGGUAUCCGUGGAUUUCAGAGUAAAAAUGGGUCACAAAAGCUUUCACCUUUUCUGCUGCCUUGUUUUCUUGCUCUUGCCAUUUUUGUUCGUUCUUCUCUUUGUGGAUCAAAAAGCUCACCACUUUGCAGGUGUCCCGGGCAACGGCAUCUCUUCGAUUGGUUGUUGGACAAACCAUUUUGCAGCCCCGAGUUAGUCGAAGACAAUUAUUGAUUCAUGGCUCCAAAGGUGAGAGUUUGUACUCUGAAAUUUGUAGUCACACACUCAUAAUAUCUGCCAUAUUUUGAAUGAGUUAUGAUGUACUUGUGUGUGAUUAUCACUCUGGUAUUUCUGUUUCCACAAAGAGAUUUUACUUGACUGGCCUUGACAAUGGCAUUUGGACACCCUUUUUGUGUUCCCAUUCUUGCCAUAUUUUCUCUUUAACAUUUGUACAAUAUGAUGCUUUUUCCCAAAAAAAAUCUUUCUGUAGUUUUGAUUUGUCUACCAAGUCUUUUUGGUAUUUAAUACAAAGGUUACCAUGUGAAUGGGUUUUCCAAAUAAUUUGGGAAAUUUGGCAGUAAGCUUUUCCCUCUCUGUAAAUUUGGGAUGGCAAGUGUUUAAUAUAAAGGCUUUGAACCCUUUUUUUUUAUCUUCUCGUGGCAAAGAAGGCUUUGAACCCUCUUUUAAAUGUUUAUGGCAGAGAAGCAGGUGAAAACUUUGACAAAUCUUUGUCCCAUCUUCACGUGACAAAGAGGGUUGCUUGUCUAUUUAAAGAUUGGGAAAUUUUCCCUUUCUUUCCUUGUCUUGUAGUAUUUCAAUGUCUCUCUUUUUUUUUUGGUCAAAGCUUUGACACAAUGUUUAAUCAAAACUUUGACACAAUUGUAGUAUUUCAAGGCUUUGAACCUUUUCCUUUUUGUCCUAAUUUAGAAACUUUGAAAUUUUGACCCCUUUAAACAUCUUCACGUUUCCUUCCUCCUUUUUUAUUUGUCUUUGUCAAGAAUUGUGUUGAAAACUUUUCUUCUUGUGGAAUUGGACCAAGCAUGAGUCGGUCAGGGGGAGCAAAAGUUGUAUUUUUCUUCUUUUCCCUUGUUUAUUUGUCCAUAAAUGCAUCUGUUUUGGACCGCAAAGGAUGAGUUUCUUCUGGCUUUAUGCAACACGGCAUUUGCCAAACCCAUCUAUUUCAAGUCGCAUAAUGUACAGACAGCAGGUAUAGGUUACUUAGACUUUGAUUGGAACUUCACGGGGUGGUCUAGGCCACCCUGAAGAAAUUCAUGGGAUUCUUGGAAAUUAUCUCUGCUGCUUGUUGGUGGGGAAUUGGUAGAUCGUUCAGAGUCUCCACCUCUAUCUGUUUGGUGCAGGAAAAUACCAGACAAAGAGACAAAGGCCUUAUAUGCCUUCGCUUGUUUCCCUUUCCUCAUUUUUUGUUUCUCUACUGCUUUUCAGUUUUGUGUUUGCUGCUACAAUGCUUUUUUUUAUUUGCUGUGGUCGCUGCUCUUAUUUUGUUCUUUCUGCAACAUAACAAGAGAAAAAUAAUAAUUUAAAUAGAACUUGUUUCAUACCUGGUGAUGAAUGUUCUUCUUUAAAUCUUGACUUGAAAGCACGAAAUGGUUGAAUAGCUUGCUCUCUUUCCUGGCAGCACCUUGUUGCUUUUGGUAUUUUCUCUAAAAGUUGCUCUUAUUUUCGGCAGAGUUUCCCCUCUUUUUUCUGUCUCUUUUUUUGUUGUUGCAGCUGAUGCCCAUUUAUAGGCAUCAUAGGAGGGUUCUAGAGCUUGUUACGUGGGGAGAAGAUGGAGGGCAUGACUUCCUGCCACUCUCUCUUAACCCCUCUUAACUGACCCCACGUUUUUUUGUUGCAGGACAGGAGGAACCUGUUUAUUACUUCCCCCUUUUGUAGGAAAUUUUUCCUUAUUAUUUUUUAUUUAUUUAUUUAUGGAUAUUUGGUUUGUAUGUAAAGCCCAUUCUUAUCUUUUGGGCUGGUUUACAUCUUUGUUUUGCCUUAUAGCCUGACCCAAUUUGUAUGGACUCUAUUUUUUUUUUAUGUUGUAUAUUUUUGUUGUUCAACACUAA